ensembl:lncRNA
UGGCUCUUAUAAUCAGUCACCUACAGUCACAGGCAGCCACACACACUACAGCUGUCCACAGAGAGCACAGAGCACAGACCUGCACUUACACACAGGACUGUGGAGAUAUACAGUAAAAGGAGCACAAUGAUGAGGGUCAGCCUGCAAACUCUGAUGGCAUUUCUGAUGUUGAGCCAUGCAGUAACAUCUGGAUUAGUGCCUAAACUGUUUGAAACAGCAAUGCCCUCUUCCCCUCAAACUGCUUUCACUCCAACAGAAGCCAGCACAUCGGGGAGCACUAGUGACUGGAACACUUCAUCGAUAACAGAAGCCGUCGCCACAUCAUCCACAAAUAUCUCAAUUCAGAGUCCGAACCCGAGCACAGAAAUCGCCACUUCCACUGCUACACAAACAGAAAGUUCCAUCCCUGUCACCAGCACCCCCAGCACAAGCAAUACAACCCCUGUCAACAACACCAGCACCCCCCAGAGUGAAAGCCCCACUGGUGCCACCACCAGCACUGAUCAUGGCACCCCUACCAGCACUGAUCCUGGCACCCCUACCAGCACUGAUCCUGGCACUCCCACCAGCACUGAUCCUGGCACUCCCACCAGCACUGAUCCUGGCACCCCCACCAGCACUGACCCUGGCACCCAAAGCACCAAUUUAUCCACUACACAAUCCACCAACCUUUCCAGCACUACUGCAGAACCCACUACCAACACCCCCACUACACAACCCACCACCACAGAUGCCUCCACCACCCCCUCUAAACAACCCACCACCGCCACCACCACCCCCGCUCCCACUACACAACACACCACCACCUCCCGCAUCAGUACCACCACUGGCCCCAUGACCAGUACCAGCAGCAGCAAAACCACCAUCAGUGCCACCAUCAGUACCCCCCGAACCACCACAGAGGUGCAGGAGCCACACAACUCCAAGGCUCUAAGUUCAGGAAGUGUUGCAGCCAUCGUCAUUAUGUUCAUCAUCACUGUUGUCCUGGUGUUAGGUGGGCUGUACUACUACAAAAUACGGUGAGUCCAGAGUUCAAACUAAUCUCCUACCAAGUACAUAAGCAUGCUACUGUUAAUGUUCCGAAGCCUGACUGAGGGCAUUUUGUGGGAAAUAACAUGACAGAUUAUACUACAGUGAACUAACUGAAAAACAUUUUUUUUUGUUUAAUCGUUCCGCUUCUUAGCCUCACAGAGCGCAAAUCACUGACUUUAACCCAGUCAUUUGAAGGCAUCGUUUACCGAAAUCACAAAAACAUAUUUUCUCACUACUUAUUACUUACAUCUAUUCACUGAUUAUGAUAGAAUUUUAUUGGUUAGGCAAAAUAUAUGUAUUACCGAAAAAGCAGUCCUUUAAGUAGCCUUUGUAUAUAAGACUAGUUUUAUCUGAACAUUGUUAUGCCAAAUAUUAGAGUAAUUCCCUGUAAUAAUUGUGUCCUCAUCUCUUACUCUAUUUUCUCAAUUUCCUCUCCAGACGUACAUCAUAUGGACGUCUUUUGGACAGGGACCAUGGAACCUUCCACAACCCAAUGUAUGACCCUUGAAUCUUAGCUUUCGGACUGGAAUCCACGAAACCUCUAAGCCAAAGGCCGGAGUGUGCUAUAGUGUGUCCGUAAUGAGUUCAGAAUGGUCACAUUUUAUCACUGUGACAUACAGCCUGAUAACUUCAUUGCGCUUAGUUGCAAAAUGCUAAAGUAGUGACAGUGACAUUUCUACUGAUCUGUGUUCAGGUAACCUCAGGUUAUAAAAUUGCACAUUUUACUCGGGUAGCUUUUCAUCGGCUCUGGCUGCACAGACACCAUGCAUGAAAGGAGGCAGGUUAAAAUCACAGUGGCCACAAGCAUGUUCACCAGAGGUAUCCUGAAUUGUAAAUUAUACGUUUUCUGUCUGACAUGUACAAAAUAGAUCAUAUUAUGUUAACUCAACCGGGGUGUUUUUUUUUAAAAGUAACGAAGCUAAAACACAGCAAGUGUACAGAGAUAGCUUAAAGGUUCAGUAUGUAUACAUUUUCAACCUGUUGAAUUCAUACUACAAACAAAUAGGGGGCAACAAGCACAAGAGUAAAUGCUAAUGGCUGCUAACUGUAGCUGUUGUUAGCUAGUUAGCUCAGGUAGCAGUGCAGUUAGCAGUCUUAUUAGCUGGUUUUGCCUGGACUGGGAGUACCAGGGAAGUGUCGGUAUUGUUUUUACCAGUUUGGAAAGCACUUAGAGGGUAAUGCAGCAUGGACAUGGGUGCCAGAACCAGAACUGGGCUUGUGUGCACUGGAUCAGGGGUCAGCAGCCUCCCAAUUUUGAAUCUUUUUAACAAAAAUGUUUACUUAUUACACUUUUAAGGCAGUAGGAGUAAUGAUAGGUGGGAAGAACCUCACUGACAAUUUUCAAAAAUAGGGCCCUUAAAUUGUGUGAUUUACAAAGAGCAUGCAUGAAUCGCAAAUAAUGUAUAGUAGAUCUUUAUCAUGACAGAAAAUGUGUUUUUUUUAAAUCAUGGAUUGUUCUUUUAGGCACCUGUGGAGCUAUUUUCUUACCUAAACUGUGAAAUUAGAUUUCUGUCGCUAAUGUAGCUAAAUGUUCAGAUUUUCGCAUUUUCACUGACCUAAUUGUAGCUGGCAGAAAACAUUGUAGUUUUGUAACCAGGAAAGUGAAAGCUGAGGCUUGCUUGCACAAAAUGUCUCCUAUGAGCUGGGAAGUAGACUUUUUAGACAACAUAAAGAGGUAUUGGCAGCUAAGGAGACUGCUUUGAGAAAAACUUUACAAGGGGAGUGAUAUCUCUUGCAUUCAUCCUGCUGACAUGGCCUUGAGCAAAACACUGAAUCCUUUCCUGCUCUAUGAGCUGAUCUGCUGCUGAGCCUGACUUUGACCUCCCUGUGAAGAAAACAAAAAACAAAUGUUUUUUCAUAGCAAUAUUCUAGAAUGAAACUAGAGAUUUUAGAAAAAUAUCCUAGAAAAUCUUAUUCACAUGUACAGGACCUCCCACACCUGAUCAACUACUGUUUAUAUGAGUGUGUAAUGUGAGUAUUUAAUUACAUGAGUUUUUUGUAUUACUGAAUGUUGUUAUUGUGAAAUUCUCCUCAUGUUUCAGUAUGACUUCACUUAGCUGUGCUAAGUAGCUCAGCCAGGCUGCAGUUAUGAUAGUGAUUUUAACUCCUUCAGUAUUUAAUAUAGUAUUUUCAGUUUACAUUCAGGUAAAGAGUGAUGUGACUGUUGUGAUGCUCUUGAAUGAAUUUAUUUCUGUGGUAAGAUUGUAUUAAAUUGUUUAUGCAUUAAAAUUGAUUGAAUAAUGUGAGUCCCUGUUAUGGUCAUUCAGAAGAAACCCAGAGAGAUAGUUUACAUGUAUUUACAGUAUA